AUCGCUUCUCGGCCUUUUGGCUAAGCUCAAGUGUAGUAUCUGUUCUUAUCAGUUUGAAAUGCAGUCGUAAGGUUGGCGAGGCCCCCCACCUUGUGUUGUUAUUAUGUGACAGAGGCAUCAAUUGUUAUGUCACUUUUCUUCCACUUUCUUGGGAAGUUUUCAAAUUCUAGUAUUUAUUUCCUUUAAAAUUGAGAACACUUU
ensembl:snRNA U2 U2 spliceosomal RNA